GAUGAACGCUGGCGGCGUGCCUAAUACAUGCAAGUCGAGCGAACAGAUGAGGAGCUUGCUCCUCUGACGUUAGCGGCGGACGGGUGAGUAACACGUGGAUAACCUACCUAUAAGACUGGGAUAACUUCGGGAAACCGGAGCUAAUACCGGAUAAUAUAUUUAACCGCAUGGUUCAAUAGUGAAAGACGGUUUUGCUGUCACUUAUAGAUGGAUCCGCGCCGCAUUAGCUAGUUGGUAAGGUAACGGCUUACCAAGGCAACGAUGCGUAGCCGACCUGAGAGGGUGAUCGGCCACACUGGAACUGAGACACGGUCCAGACUCCUACGGGAGGCAGCAGGAGGGAAUCUUCCGCAAUGGGCGAAAGCCUGACGGAGCAACGCCGCGUGAGUGAUGAAGGUCUUCGGAUCGUAAAACUCUGUUAUUAGGGAAGAACAAAUGUGUAAGUAACUAUGCACGUCUUGACGGUACCUAAUCAGAAAGCCACGGCUAACUACGUG
rnacentral:rRNA from 1 species